GUGAACCAGUUUGGGACAUUAC
rnacentral:rRNA from 1 species